AUUGACGGACUGAAGGCUCUUUCUCGAUUCCGUGGAAAGUGGUGCAUGGCCGUUUUUGGUUGGUGGAUCGAUCCGUCUGGUUAAUUCCGUUAACGAACGAGACCUCGGCACUCCGAAUAGCGCGGCGGACGUCGCGGCCUCCGGGCCGUCUUCCGCACGAGCUUCUUAGAGGGGACCGUCCCCCCGCCGGGGAAGGAGGUGCGAGGCAACGACAGGUCUGUGAUGCCCUUAGAUGUUCUGGGCCGCACGCGCAUUACACUGACGCGUCCAACGGGUGACUCCCGACCCGAAGGGGCCGGGGAAUCCGCAAGGCGCGUCGUGAUGGGGAUUGAACGUUGCAAUUGUUGUUCACGAACGAGGAAUUCCUAGUAGGCGCGGGUCAUCAACCCGCGCCGAUUACGUCCCUGCCCUUUGUACACACCGCC
rnacentral:rRNA from 1 species